rnacentral:rRNA from 1 species
AUUGAACGCAGGCGGCAGGCCUAACACAUGCAAGUCGAACGAGUGGCGGACGGGUGAGUAAUGUCUGGGAAACCGCCUGAUCGACGGGGAUAAUUACAGGAAACGGUAGCUAAUACCGCAUACCAUCAGCAGUGUCCAGAUGGGAUGAGCUGGUUGGUGGGGUAACGGCACCCCAAGGCGACGAUCCCUAGCUGGUCUGAGAGGAUGACCAUCCACUCGGAAACUGAGAUACAGUCCGGACUCCUACGUGAGGCGGCAGUGGGGAAUAGUUCGCGAUAGACGCAAACCUUAUGCAUACAUUCCGCGUGUAUGAAGAAGGCCUUCGGGUUGUAAAGUACUUUUAGCUGGGAGGCGUUACCCGCAGAAGAAGCACCGGCUAACUCCGUGCCAGCAGCCGCGGUAAUUC